rnacentral:rRNA from 1 species
GACGUAGGAUGCGAGCGUUGUCCGGAUUUAUUGGGCGUAAAGAGCUCGUAGGCGGUUUGUCGCGUCUGCUGUGAAAUCCCGAGGCUCAACCUCGGGCCUGCAGUGGGUACGGGCAGACUGGAGUGCGGUAGGGGAGAAUGGAAUUCCUGGUGUAGCGGUGGAAUGCGCAGAUAUCAGGAGGAACACCGGUGGCGAAGGCGGGUCUCUGGGCCGAUACUGACGCUGAGGAGCGAAAGCGUGGGGAGCGAACAGG